AACGCGAAGAACCUUACCAGCCCUUGACAUCCCGCGCGGACUUCCAGAGACGGAGUUCUUCAGUUCGGCUGGACGCGGAGACAGGUGCUGCAUGGCUGUCGUCAGCUCGUGUCGUGAGAUGUUGGGUUAAGUCCCGCAACGAGCGCAACCCCCGUCCUUAGUUGCUACCAUUUAGUUGAGCACUCUAGAGACUGCCGGUGAUAAGCCGCGAGGAAGGUGGGGAUGACGUCAAGUCCUCAUGGCCCUUACGGGCUGGGCUACACACGUGCUACAAUGGCGGUGACAAUGGGAUGCUAAGGGGCGACCCUUCGCAAAUCUCAAAAAUCCGUCUCAGUUCGGAUUGGGCUCUGCAACUCGAGCCCAUGAAGUUGGAAUCGCUAGUAAUCGUGGAUCAGCACGCCACGGUGAAUACGUUCCCGGGCCUUGUACACACCG
rnacentral:rRNA from 1 species